rnacentral:rRNA from 1 species
CAACAGGGAUUGCCCUAGUAACGGCGAGUGAAGCGGCAACAGCUCAAAUUUGAAAUCUGGCUCCCUUGGGGGUCCGAGUUGUAAUUUGUAGAGGGUGCUUUGGUAUUAGCUGUGGUCUAAGACCCUUGGAACAGGGCGUCACAGAGGGUGAGAAUCCCGUAUGUGGCCAGCAGCUCUUGCCUUGUAAAGCCCCUUCGACGAGUCGAGUUGUUUGGGAAUGCAGCUCUAAAUGGGAGGUAAAUUUCUUCUAAAGCUAAAUACUGGCCAGAGACCGAUAGCGCACAAGUAGAGUGAUCGAAAGAUGAAAAGCACUUUGGAAAGAGAGUCAAAAAGCACGUGAAAUUGUUGAAAGGGAAGCGCUUGCAGCCAGACUUGCCCGUAGUUGUUCAUCUAGGCUUCUGCCUGGUGCACUCUUCUGCGGGCAGGCCAGCAUCAGUCCAGGCGGUCGGAUAAAGGCCUUGGGAAUGUGGCUCCUUUCGGGGAGUGUUAUAGCCCAGGGUGCCAUGCGGCCAGCCUGAACUGAGGUCCGCGCUUCUGCUAGGAUGCUGGCGUAAUGGCUGUAAGCGGCCCGUCUUGAAACACGGACCAAGGAGUCUAACAUCUAUGCGAGUGUUUGGGUGUCAAGCCCGAGCGCGCAAUGAAAGUGAACGGAGGUGGGAACCCCUCGGGGUGCACCAUCGACCGAUCCUGAUGUCUUCGGAUGGAUUUGAGUAAGAGCAUAGCUGUUGGGACCCGAAAGAUGGUGAACUAUGCCUGAAUAGGGUGAAGCCAGAGGAAACUCUGGUGGAGGCUCGCAGCGGUUCUGACGUGCAAAUCGAUCGUCAAAUUUGGGCAUAGGGGCGAAAGACUAAUCGAACUAUC